AGAGUUUGAUCCUGGCUCAGGAUAAACGCUGGCGGCGCACAUAAGACAUGCAAGUCGAACGAACUUAACCAUUAGUUUACUAUUGGAGCGGUUAGUGGCGGACUGGUGAGUAACACGUAAGCAACCUGCCUAUCAGAGGGGAACAACAGUUAGAAAUGACUGCUAAUACCGCAUAUGCCUUGAGUAUCACAUGGUACAAAAGGGAAAGGAGCAAUCCGCUGAUAGAUGGGCUUGCGUCUGAUUAGAUAGUUGGUGAGGUAACGGCCCACCAAGUCGACGAUCAGUAGCCGGACUGAGAGGUUGAACGGCCACAUUGGGACUGAGAUACGGCCCAGACUCCUACGGGAGGCAGCAGUCGGGAAUAUUGCGCAAUGGAGGAAACUCUGACGCAGUGACGCCGCGUGCAGGAAGAAGGUUUUCGGAUUGUAAACUGGUUUAGACAGGGAAGAAACGGAGACGAUACCUGUAGAAUAAGGUCCGGUGUAACUACGUGCCAGCAGCCGCGGU
rnacentral:rRNA from 1 species